AACUAACAGGAUUCCCCUAGUAACUGCGAGUGAAGCGGGAAAAGCUCAAAUUUAAAAUCUGGCGGCUUUGGUCGUCCGAGUUGUAUUCUAGAGAAGUGUUUUCCGCGUUGGACCGUGUAUAAGUCUCUUGGAACAGAGCGUCAUAGAGGGUGAGAAUCCCGUCUUUGACACGGACUACCAAUGCUUUGUGAUACACUCUCAAAGAGUCGAGUUGUUUGGGAAUGCAGCUCAAAAUGGGUGGUAAAUUCCAUCUAAAGCUAAAUAUUGGCGAGAGACCGAUAGCGAACAAGUACCGUGAGGGAAAGAUGAAAAGCACUUUGGAAAGAGAGUUAAACAGUACGUGAAAUUGCUGAAAGGGAAACGCUUGAAGUCAGUCGCGUUAUCUAGAACUCAACCAGGCUUGCUUGGCGUAUUUUCUAGUUAACGGGCCAGCAUCAGUUUUGACUGCAGGAAAAAGGCCAGGGAAAUGUGGCACCCUCGGGUGUGUUAUAGUCUCUGGUCAUAUACUGUGAUUGGGACUGAGGACCGCAGCACGCGCAAGCUGUGCUUAGGAUGCUGGCGUAAUGGCUUUAAACGACCCGUCUUGAAACACGGACCAAGGAGUCUAACAAACCUGCGAGUAUUUGGGUGGUAAACCCGAGUGCGCAAUGAAAGUGAAAGUUGGGAUCUCUGUCGUGGAGAGCACCGACGCCCGGACCAGACCUUCUGUGACGGAUCUGCGGUAGAGCAUGUUUGUUGGGACCCGAAAGAUGGUGAACUAUGCCUGAAUAGGGUGAAGCCAGAGGAAACUCUGGUGGAGGCUCGUAGCGAUUCUGACGUGCAAAUCGAUCGUCAAAUUUGGGUAUAGGGGCGAAAGACUAAUCGAACCAUCUAGUAGCUGGUUCCUGCCGAGUUUCCCCUCAGGA
rnacentral:rRNA from 1 species